AAGUAUAUAGUUAACAUGAACUUGUCAUUUAGACAUCAUAAAACCAUACAAACAUGAAUUUCUAGCAUCCUAAGCAUUCUAUCAAACACCUUGCAUGGAUUCUUUAAGGCAUAGGUAGGUUUCAUACUUGCACCAUAUUAAACCACCUAAAGUUCAUGGUUUUCAAUUAACAAACAUAUAUAUUCCAUUAAAACACCUUUAGAAAUCACAUUGAAACUUAAACAACAAUCGUCAACAUGUACAUACU
rnacentral:lncRNA from 1 species